rnacentral:tRNA from 1 species
UAAUUGAAGUAAUGUUAUACGCUCAAUUUCGGCUUGAGAAAAAGAUAAUUUAUCCAAUU